rnacentral:rRNA from 1 species
AUCCUGGCUCAGGAUGAACGCUGGCGGCGUGCCUAAUACAUGCAAGUCGAACGGUAAGGCCCUUCGGGGUACACGAGCGGCGGACGGCUGAGUAACGCGUAGGAACGUACCCCAAACUGAGGGAUAAGCACCAGAAAUGGUGUCUAAUACCGCAUGUGCUCUUCGGAGUAAAGCUACGGCGGUUUGGGAACGGCCUGCGUACGAUUAGAUAGUUGGUGAGGUAACGGCUCACCAAGGCGACGAUCAGUAGCUGGUCUGAGAGGAUGAUCAGCCAGACUGGGACUGAGAACGGCCCAGACUCCUACGGGAGGCAGCAGUAGGGAAUUUUCCACAAUGGGGGCAACCCUGAUGGAGCAACGCCGCGUGCAGGAUGAAGGCCUUCGGGUUGUAAACUGCUUUUAUAUGUGACGAAUAUGACGGUAGCAUAUGAAUAAGGAUCGGCUAACUCCGUGCCAGCAGCCGCGGUCAUACGGAGGAUCCAAGCGUUAUCCGGAAUUACUGGGCGUAAAGAGUUGCGUAGGUGGCAGAGUGUGUCUGUAGUGAAAGCGUGUGGCUCAACCAUAUAUACAUUACAGAAACUGCUCAGCUAGAGGACGAGAGAGGUUAUUGGAAUUCCUAGUGUAGGAGUGAAAUCCGUAGAUAUUAGGAGGAACACCGAUGGCGUAGGCAGAUAACUGGCUCGUUCCUGACACUAAGGCACGAAAGCGUGGGGAGCAAACGGGAUUAGAUACCCCGGUAGUCCACGCCGUAAACGAUGAAUGCUAGCUGUUAUGGGUAUCGACCCCCGUAGUAGCGAAGCUAACGCGUUAAGCAUUCCGCCUGUGGAGUACGGUCGCAAGACUAAAACUCAAAGGAAUUGACGGGGACCCGCACAAGCGGUGGAGCGUGUUGUUUAAUUCGAUGGUAAACGAAGAACCUUACCCAGGCUUGACAUCCUCGGAAUUUUGUCGAAAGACGAGAGUGCCUUUGGGAGCCGAGUGACAGGUGUUGCAUGGCCGUCGUCAGCUCGUGUCGUGAGAUGUUUGGUUAAGUCCAUCAACGAGCGCAACCCUU